rnacentral:rRNA from 1 species
CCUACGGGAGGCAGCAGUGGGGAAUGUUGCACAAUGUGGGAAACCCUGAUGCAGCGACGCCGCGUGAGUGAAGCAGUAUUUCGGUACGUAAAGCUCUAUCUGCAGGGAAGAAAAUGACGGUACCUGACUAAGAAGCCCCGGCUAACUACGUGCCAUCAGCCGCGGUAAUACGUAGGGGGCAAGCGUUAACCUGAUUUACUGGGUGUAAAGGGAGCGUAGACGGCAGCGCAAGUCUGGAGUGAAAUCCCAUGGCUUAACCAUGGAACUGCUUUGGAAAUUGGGCAGCUAGAGUGCAGGAGAGGUAAGCGGAAUUCCUAGUGUAGAGGUGACAUGCGUAGAUAUUAGGAGGAACACCAGUGGCGAAGGCGGCUUACUGGACUGUAACUGACGUUGAGGCUCGAAAGCGUGGGGAGCAAACAGGAUGAGAUACCCUAGUAGUC